AUUAAACGCUGGCGGCAUGCCUUACACAUGCAAGUCGAACGGCAGCACGGGGGCAACCUUGGUGGCGAGUGGCGAACGGGUGAGUAAAGCAUCGGAACGUGCCCUGGAGUGGGGGAUAACGUAGCGAAAGUUACGCUAAUACCGCAUAUUCUGUGAGCAGGAAAGCAGGGGAUCGCAAGACCUUGCGCUCUGGGAGCGGCCGAUGUCGGAUUAGCUAGUUGGUGGGGUAAAGGCCUACCAAGGCGACGAUCCGUAGCGGGUCUGAGAGGAUGAUCCGCCACACUGGGACUGAGACACGGCCCAGACUCCUACGGGAGGCAGCAGUGGGGAAUAUUGGACAAUGGGCGCAAGCCUGAUCCAGCCAUGCCGCGUGGGUGAAGAAGGCC
rnacentral:rRNA from 1 species